GGAUGGAUGGAUUUAUAAGACACUUUACAUUUUAGAAAAAAAUCUCAAAGUUCUACAAUCAAAUACAACAGCAACAAUACAGGUAGAAUGAAAUACACAUUUCAUGUUAAACAGAUAAAAAUAAAACAUUAAUUAAAGGAAAUCAAUAAGAACACUAAGUAAAAAGGAAGGUUUAGGUCUGUUUUGAAGCCAGCCGUCUGUGGAGCCAUAAGAUGAGGGGGCAAGGUAAUCCACAGCCAAAGCAAGGCACAUUAAUUAAAAGGAAACCAGUAAAAAUACUAAAYAGAAAAACACUGUGUAAAAAGCAAGGUUUUUAGGCCAGCUUUGAAACCUGCCACGGUUUGUUGAGCCCUCAGAAGAGGAGGGAGGGUAUCUCACAGGCGAGGAGCAGCACAGGAAAAGGCCCUGUCACCAAUGGUGCGGGUGUGAGUCUUGAGAAUGUGAAGAAUAUUUGUAUUUGAGGAGCGGAGAGUGCGUGAGGAACAGYGAGGAGCGAGGAGAUCUGUAUGUUCAAAUUUGCGCACCCCCGUCAGGAUCCCUGCAGCACUAUUCUGAACAUGUUGUAAUUUUUGUAAGUUCUUCACAGGAGUUCCAAYGAGGAGGGCGUUGCAGUAAUCAAGUCUGGAGGAGACAAUUAAAGACUCAUUCAUGCUCUGUCAGCCCACGACGAGCUGACAUCAAACGCAGAAGAUGUGACCGACAGACCCUCUGGUUCCUCAGAGCCUGGCUGUGUCUGUGCUGGAGGAAGAAACAGGAACUGCUUCACAUGCUAAACUCUUCAGACACACAACACACAUGUAUUGUACAUGACUUGAUACACAACAAACACAAUCUGAGCCUCGCUGGAACUUUAAUUUGGAGAUAAACAGUAUCUCUGGCCCUGAAUGGUGACAGUGAAUUCAKUGGGUGGGUCGAUCUGCAGACACACAAGUGUUUUGUGGUUGUUUUCAUGUCAGUGGUGGCAGCCGCUCCUGGCACUGGGUCAGAAAUGAACACAUGAUGUGAUGACAGCUACUAGGGCCAGUCUGAGCUCCCUCAACAGAUCCAAUGUAUCAGUUAUUUAGUCUGACAGUAAAACAUGCAAAAAAAGUGCAUUCUGAGUUAUUUGUGUGUUUUUUAAGUCUAAUUUCACUUCUUUUUUUAAAUAAUCCUGGUGGAAUUAAACACUCACUUUCACUGAUUUUUGUCUAUUCAGUCUUUUACAUUUUAUUUUUGUAAAUUUCUAAUGAAAUAAAUGAAUAUUGCUUCCUGUAAA